AUGGAACGUGAAGAAACAAAGUCUGACUGUCUGCAGUUUCAACUUGAGAUCCUCUGGCUGCGCUCCCUCCGGUGCUGCUGAGAGAACAGGUGCAAACGGGCCACUUCCAGCAACACCGUUAGUAACUCGAGGUCUUGUAGCAGCACUUAGUGUCCAACAGAAACCGCUCCGUCUGCUAAACAAUAUCUUGACUGCAAAGCUUCUCUGACUGUUGGUGGAUCGACAAUGACACGGCACAGUCAUUAUCACCGUGGCAACAGUACCCAGGAUUUAUCAGAGGAAAAUUGCACAUGGAACCGCUGGCUCUCGAGCAGGCAUGCCUCAGCUUCCUCUGGAGUAUGCUUUUUCUGCAAGUCUGGUGUGCUCGAGGGUACCACCAACCCAGCGCAGGUCCAAGACUACAGAUUAGAUAGAGGGCCACUGAGUCCUGCUGGCCAGGAUCUGGAUCCCCGUGCUACCAGUGUGAGCACCGACCAUGUCUGGGGCUCUGUUCUAAGGGGAAGUACAUGCCAAGCAAUAUAUAAAAUGGAGAGGGCAAAGCAAACAACUAGCCUGCUUAUUCUUCUGCACCGUCCCCAGAUGUGCAAGCGCUCUACCCAUGGGCGAUCAUCACUGACAGAACACUCUCUUUUAUUACUGUCUGUAUGCAUGGGGGUGGAACUCAGACGUCGCUUACACUGGAAAGCGACCUACUACUGACCUAUAUCCUCAUACUUUCUGUUUUUCCUCUUUAAAAGAUCUUGCUGUAUGGCCCAGGUUUAUUUAGAAAUCUUGAGUUCAACAGAUCCUCUUAUCUCAGCCUCUUAGUAGGCAAGGAACUUUGCAGACAACGGUCACAGGGUUCAGCAACCUCCAAUUUCUUAGUUCUUUCAAUAAACGGUCCUGACCCCAGCAACAGGGGGUUAUGUGGGCAGAAGGGUCACCGAGACCCCAAAGACAGCCGUCCCACAGCUAGAGUACUUUACACGUUUGUAGGAUAAGAACAUCAUUCUAGAGGCCAGGGAGAUGGCUCAGAGUGUCAAGGGACUUACCCUGCACCCCAGAGUUCCAUCACUGGAUCCUUUAUAAUAGGCGGAAGUAGGGAUCUGACCACACAAAGUUGUCUUCUGACUUCUAUUCACACGCUGUGGCAGGUGUAUGCACAUAGAUCAUACAUACACAAUAAUGAUAUUUUUAUGCUAAAAGAUCAUUCUAGAGGAAGACUCCACGUGAGGCAGCAGCACACGGCUUGGCUGUCCACGUGCAUGGCGGGUUCGAGGCUGGUCAGUAUACGCCAAGUUGGCGGCUCACCUCAGCUAGUGAUGCGUGAAGGCCCACCACCUCUCUGGCGCACGCCUUCGCAGGACUAUCGGACCGCAUUACCUUAAAAAUCAGUCGCCG
ensembl:lncRNA